CAGUAGCCACGGUAAUACAGAGGGUGCGAGCGUUAAUCGGAUUUACUGGGCGUAAAGCGUGCGUAGGCGGCUUUUUAAGUCGGAUGUGAAAUCCCUGAGCUUAACUUAGGAAUUGCAUUCGAUACUGGGAAGCUAGAGUAUGGGAGAGGAUGGUAGAAUUCCAGGUGUAGCGGUGAAAUGCGUAGAGAUCUGGAGGAAUACCGAUGGCGAAGGCAGCCAUCUGGCCUAAUACUGACGCUGAGGUACGAAAGCAUGGGGAGCAAACAGGAUUAGAUACCCGGGUAGUCCCUGUCUCUUAUAA
rnacentral:rRNA from 1 species